AACGCACGAGACCUGCGGACCUGCGGAGGGAUCAUUCACAAUGAGAGUGUUUAUGGCACUCUUCCAAAAAUCCAUACCCACCUUGUGUGCAAUGUAAGGAGAAAGGUUUCGUUUCUGGAAGAGAGGGGUUCUUGGGAGAUUCGGGAUGCUUGCGCAUUCCAGAUCCCACUUGCUAUCCCCACUUCUGGCGGCGGCCUUUUUUUCUCAUCUUCAUAUACACCUUUCUAUCAGUUCCUAUUG
rnacentral:misc_RNA from 1 species